CCUACGGGUGGCAGCAGUGAGGAAUAUUGGUCAAUGGACGAGAGUCUGAACCAGCCAAGUAGCGUGAAGGAUGACUGCCCUAUGGGUUGUAAACUUCUUUUAUAUGGGAAUAAAAUGUUCCACGUGUGGGAUUUUGUAUGUACCAUAUGAAUAAGGAUCGGCUAACUCCGUGCCAGCAGCAGCGGUAAUACGGAGGAUACGAGCGUUAUCCGGAUUUAUUGGGUUUAAAGGGAGCGUAGGUGGAUUGUUAAGUCGGUUGGGCAAGUUUGCGGCUCAACCGUAAAUUUUCAGUUGAAACUGGCAGUAUUGAGUACAGUAGAGGUGGGCGGAAUUCGUGGUGAAGCGGUGAAAUGAUUAGCUAUCACGAAGAACUCCGAUUGCGAAGGCAGUUCACUGGACUGCAACUGACACUGAGGCUCGAAAGUGUGGGUAUCAAACAGGAUUAGAUACCCUUGUAGUC
rnacentral:rRNA from 1 species